AUGGUGCUGCCCAGGCUGCUGAAGCUGGUCAUGGUGUCCAUGUGGUUGGGAUCCAGUUUUGCCCAGAAGGUGACUCAGGCCCAGCCAGCCAUGUGGGUGCAGGAGAAGGAGGCUGUGACCCUGCUCUGCUCCUAUGACACCAGUGGUACAAGUUACAAUCUCCUCUGCUAUAAGCAGCCCAGCAGUGGGGAGAUGGUCUUCCUCAUCCUUCAGAACUCUUACAGCCAGCAAAAUGCCACAGAAGGUCGCUACUCAGUGAAUUUGCAAAAGGCAAGCAAAUCCAUCCAGCUUGUCAUCUCAGCCUCACAGCUGGGGGACUCAGUGGUGUAUUUCUGUGCACUGAGAGAGGGCACAGUGGGAGGACUGUUGGAGGGAGGGGUGAGCCAAGGAGAGAAGGUGGAGCAGCGUUCUUCUACCCUGAGUGUCCAGGAGGGAGACAGUGCUGUUAUCAACUGUACUUAUUCAUAUAGUGGUUCAGAGUACUUCCCUUGGUAUAAGCAAGAAGCUGGAAAAGGUCCCCAGCAUAUUAUAGACAUUCGUUCAAAUAAGGAGAUAAAUCAAAUCCAAAGAUUCACUGUUGUGUUGGAUAAGAGAGCCAAACACUUCUUCCUGAACAUCACAGCUGCCCAACCUGGAGACUCAGCUGUCUACUUCUGUGCAGUUGAUGCAUGA